UACGAAGGGUGCAAGCGUUAAUCGGAAUUACUGGGCGUAAAGCGUGCGUAGGCGGUGAGUUAAGUCUGUCGUGAAAUCCCCGGGCUCAACCUGGGAAUGGCGAUGGAUACUGGCUCGCUAGAGUGUGAUAGAGGAUGGUGGAAUUCCCGGUGUAGCGGUGAAAUGCGUAGAGAUCGGGGGGAACAUCAGUGGCGAAGGCGGCCAUCUGGAUCAACACUGACGCUGAGGCACGAAAGCGUGGGGAGCAAACAGG
rnacentral:rRNA from 1 species